UACGAAGGGGGCUAGCGUUGCUCGGAAUCACUGGGCGUAAAGGGUGCGUAGGCGGGUCUUUAAGUCAGGGGUGAAAUCCUGGAGCUCAACUCCAGAACUGCCUUUGAUACUGAAGAUCUUGAGUUCGGGAGAGGUGAGUGGAACUGCGAGUGUAGAGGUGAAAUUCGUAGAUAUUCGCAAGAACACCAGUGGCGAAGGCGGCUCACUGGCCCGGUACUGACGCUGAGGUGCGAAAGCGUGGGGAGCA
rnacentral:rRNA from 1 species